UCAUGAUAUCUCGAGGCUGUGGUCUCACGAGAGCCCACAGGGAGAGCCUUUUCCCACUUGCAGAUGGUGGGUCCGGUCUCACCCCCGAAGCCUCUGGUCACGUGCCCGGAGGGACUCAAAGGUGACAGCGGGAGGCCCUGGCUUGGCCGGUCUAGCCUGACACGGCCCUGAUCCGACUGAAAUCAACUGAUGAAAUCGGGAAAUGUCUGGCCGAAUCCCGAUACACCUGCCCUACAGAGUUGUGCGUGUGCCCCGUCGCCCAGGAGGGCCACCCUGGACCGAGGAAGAGAGUGGCUGCAGGGAGGUCUUGGGAAGAUAAGCCUGGAGAUGUUCUGGGAAGGCCUCCUUCACCGCCCAGUCCCCCACUGGGUCCUGGUUCACGGGUCCUGGGAUCAGGACCCGGAGCCCCCGGAGCCAGAGCCCGAGGAGUCCGGGGCAGGAGCGGAAGCCGGUGCGGCUCCAGAGCCCGACCCAAGGGCAU